GCCCGCCAGAGAAUUACAAGCCAAUGCUUCAAACCCAAAGGACUUGACGGUGCCCCAUACCAACCUAGAGGAGCCUGUCCUAUAAUCGAUACUCCGCGCUAUACCCAACCCUCCCUUGCACACAUAGCCUAUAUACCGCCGUCGCCAGCCAGCCUGAUGACAGCAUCAACAGCUGACAAAACAGUUUAUCACUAACACGUCAGGUCAAGGUGUAGCUAAUGGGGGGGGACUGAGAUGGGCUACAUUUCUUACCACAAGAAAUUACCAAACACAACAUGAAAUAUAAGUCAAAAGGAGGAUUUAGAAGUAAGGGUUGACAAGACAUGCUACCCUGAA
rnacentral:rRNA from 1 species